GAAUCUGUAGUUUAUAAAUUUAAAACCUAUCGUUUACACCGAUAUAAAAGAUUAUGUGAUCUCGGAUUUA
rnacentral:tRNA from 1 species